rnacentral:rRNA from 1 species
AACGAACGCUGGCGGCAGGCUUAACACAUGCAAGUCGAACGGGCCCUUCGGGGUCAGUGGCAGACGGGUGAGUAACGCGUGGGAACGUGCCCUUGAGUGUGGGAUAACCCAGGGAAACUUGGGCUAAUACCGGAUACGUGCGAGAGCAGAAAGAUUUAUCGCUGAAGGAUCGGCCCGCGUCUGCUUAGCUGGUUGGUAGGGUAAUGGCCUACCAAGGCGACGAGCAGUAGCUGGUCUGAGAGGGUGAUCAGCCACAUUGGGACUGAGAAACGGCCCAAACUCCUACGGGAGGCAGCAGUGGGGAAUAUUUGACAAUGGGCGCAAGCCUGAUCCAGCCAUGCCGCGUGAGUGAUGAAGGCCUUAGGGUUGUAAAGCUCUUUCAGUGGGGACGAUAAUGACGGUACCCGCAGAAGAAGCCCCGGCUAACUUCGUGCCAGCCGCCGCAGUAA